rnacentral:rRNA from 1 species
GAUGAACGCUAGCGACAGGCUUAACACAUGCAAGUCGAGGGGCAGCGCGGUGGUAGCAAUACCACUGGCGGCGACCGGCGCACUGGUGAGUAACACGUAUGCGACCUGCCCCGGACAGGGGGAUAAACCCGGGAAACUGGGUCUAAUACCCCAUAUGCCCUGAGGACGCAUGUCCUUAGGGUGAAAGAUCCGUCGGUCCGGGAUGGGCAUGCGUCCGAUUAGCUUGCCGGCGGGGUAACGGCCCACCGGGGCAUCGAUCGGUAGGGGUUCUGAGAGGAAGGUCCCCCACACUGGUACUGAGACACGGACCAGACUCC